CCUACGGGAGGCAGCAGUGGGGAAUAUUGCGCAAUGGGCGAAAGCCUGACGCAGCGACGCCGCGUGAGGGAUGAAGGUCUUCGGAUCGUAAACCUCUGUCAGCAGGGAAGAACGGUCACUGUGCUAAUCAGCAGUGAAUUGACGGUACCUGCAAAGGAAGCACCGGCUAACUCCGUGCCAGCAGCCGCGGUAAUACGGAGGGUGCGAGCGUUAAUCGGAAUUACUGGGCGUAAAGCGCUCGUAGGCGGUAUGUCAAGUCAAGGGUGAAAUCCCCGCGCUCAACGUGGGAACUGCCUUUGAAACUGGCAGACUGGAGUGUGUGAGAGGAUAGUGGAAUGCCAGGUGUAGGAGUGAAAUCCGUAGAUAUCGGGAGGAACAUCAGUGGCGAAGGCGACUAUCUGGCACAUAACUGACGCUGAGGAGCGAAAGCGUGGGUAGCAAACAGGAUUAGAUACCCUAGUAGUC
rnacentral:rRNA from 1 species